rnacentral:rRNA from 1 species
CCCUUAGAUGUUCUGGGCCGCACGCGCGCUACACUGACGAAGUCAGCGAGCAUGUCCUACGCCGACAGGUGCGGGGAAUCUUGUCAAACUUCGUCGUGAUGGGGAUUGAUUAUUGAAAUUCUUGAUCAUCAACGAGGAAUUCCUAGUAAGCGCAAGUCAGCAGCUUGCGUUGAUUACGUCCCUGCCCUUUGUACACACCGCCCGUCGCUACUACCGAUUGAAUGGUAUAGUGAGAUCUUCGGAUUGGCGCCACUGCGGCUCAGCAAUGGGCUCGGUGGAUGCCGAAAAGUUGAUCAAACUUGAUCAUUUAGAGGAAGUAAAAGUCGUAACA